AUGCCAAUGAUGCAUUCCCUCUCUGUUUAUGCGAUCCUUUUGUUUCUCUCUUGGCCAUUCAGCUCGGUGCCUCUCUGUGCAUCCGACCACCUACUUGUCCCUGGCAAGCCGCUCUCCCCUGGUAGUGUUCUUGUCUCGGAAGACGAAGUUUUCGCCCUCGGGUUCUUCUCCCCAUCAUCAUCAAACUCCACCAAGAAGCACUACUACGUCGGAAUAUGGUACAACGACAUUCCGAAGUGCACCGUGGUAUGGGUCUCCAACCGGGCCGCUCCCAUCACAAACCUUUCCUCUGUGAAUCUUGCCGUAACCAGCAGCUCCGACAUAGUGAUAUCUGAUAGCAAUGGCCGUGUCCUUUGGAGGACGAACAACAACAUCAACAUCAUCAAUUCAUCAUUGACUACCGCCAUCUCGGUGGUAGCGAUGCUGGAGAACACUGGAAACUUCAUCCUCCGGUCGUUGGCCGACGGUGCCAUACUGUGGCAAAGCUUCGACCAGCCUACCGACACCCUCCUGCCCGGCAUGAAUCUCAGGCUCAGCCACAACAUGCAUCCACUGCAGCAACUGGUUGCUUGGAAAGGCCAGCAAGACCCGGCACCUGGCGUGUUCUCCUACGGCGCAGACCCCAACAAUCUCCUGCAAAGCUUCAUCUGGAAUGGCUCGAGGCCACACCGGCGAAGCCCGGUAUGGAUAAACUACCUCCUCCGUUUGUACUACAUGGAUAUGUUCAAGUCUACCAUCUACAUGGCGUUGCAUCACGCCGGCGACGAGGUUUACAUGUCGUUCGGCAUGCCAACCGGCUCCUUCGCCGUGUUGGUUAGGAUGAAUAUUGACUACUCAGGUAAGGUAACUGUCCUAAGCUGGGAAAGCAACAUGUCGGUAUGGAGAGCCCUGUACGCAGAGCCUGAACAUGAGUGCAAUACGUAUAGCUACUGUGGUCCUUAUGGUUACUGCGACAACACAGAAAUCAUCCCAGUGUGCAAGUGCUUGGAUGGUUUCGAGCCGAGGGACGAUAAAGGAUGGAUCGUCGGACGUUUCUUGCAGGGAUGCCGCCGGAAGGAGGUGCGAAGGUGUACCCAUGGAGACGGGUUCUUGACCUUUUCGGGCAUGAAGGUCCCUGACAAGUUCCUCCAUGUCCCGAACAAAAGCUUUGAUGAGUGCACUGAGGAAUGCAAAAGCAAUUGCUCAUGUGUGGCAUAUGCUUACUCCAGUAUGAGCAACAUGGAUAUCGACGGAGAUGACACAAGGUGCCUGGUAUGGAUGGGGGAUUUGAUCGACAUGGAGAACAACGCACAAGGAGGGGAGAACCUCUAUGUUCGGACUUACGUAUUACAAGGUAACCUGAGAAAGGUCAAAACUAUAAAAAUGGUAUUACCAUUUGUGUCAAGUUUGUUGAUCUUCGUAUGCGUGGUGUUUAUUUGGGCCUAUGUCAAUAGAGGCAAUCAUGCUAGCAAAGGUGUCUGGCAAAGGAUCAUGCGAGUAUAUUCAAGAACUUGUAAGGAACUCGUUGAUAGUAACACAGAGUUUCCCAUUUUGAGAUUCCGAACAAUUGUUGUCGCGACAAAUAAUUUCUCCGAAUCUAGCAUUCUCGGCCAAGGAGGUUUUGGCAAUGUAUAUAAGGGCAAGUUGGAAGAUGGUAAGGAUAUUGCUGUGAAAAGGCUUCGUGUAGGUUCUGUCCAAGGGGAAAUGGAGUUCAAGAAUGAGAUAGUUCUGGUCACCAAGUUGCAGCAUAGGAACAUGGUCAAACUUUUAGCUUGCAGCAUUCAUGAAGAUGAAAAACUUUUGAUUUAUGAAUACCUACCUAACGGAAGUUUGGAUUCCUUCAUUUUCAAUGACACAAGGAAGUCACUACUCAACUGGCCCACAAGAUUUAAGAUAAUCACAGGUGUAGCCAGUGGCCUUCUUUAUCUCCACCAAGACUCCAGAUUGACGAUGAUUCAUAGAGAUCUCAAGGCAAGCAACAUAUUGUUGGAUGCUGAGAUGGACCCCAAAAUAUCUGAUUUUGGUACAGCUAGGAUAUUUAGUGUCAAUGAAAAGCAAGGACACACCAAUCGAGUCGUUGGAACAUUUGGAUACAUGUCGCCCGAAUAUGCAAUGGAAGGAAUCAUCUCCGUCAAGUCUGAUGUGUACAGCUUUGGUGUAUUACUCCUGGAAAUAGUGAGUGGCUUGAAGAUCUGCACUACAAGCCCAAGCACGCACUCUCAUAACCUUAUAGAUCAUGCGUGCAGCUUACAGAGGGAUGGGAUGUUGUCGAAUCUUGUCGACCCGUCUAUCAUCGAGGGUUGCUCUCCUGAUGAAGCUGAUGAAGCUCUACGGUGCAUCCAUAUUGGACUGUUGUCGGUGCAGAACAACCCAAAUGCUCGCCCCCUCAUGUCUUGGGUGGUAGAAAGCCUGGAUAACAAAGCCAUAAAGCUCCCGCAGUUGAAAGAGCCCAUAUACUUUGGAUACCAGAUCUAUGGAAGUGACGGACUAGGAUAA
rnacentral:rRNA from 1 species